CGCGUAGGCGGGAUGAUUAGUCAGUGGUGCAAUCUUGCGGCUUAACUGUAAGUUUGCCAUUGAUACUGUCAUUCUUGAGUUCGGAAGAGGGAAGUGGAAUUCCUGGUGUAGCGGUGAAAUGCGUAGAUAUCAGGAAGGACAUCGGUGGCGAAGGCGGCUUCCUGGUCCGAUACUGACGCUGAUGCGCGAAAGUGUGGGGAGCAAACA
rnacentral:rRNA from 1 species